rnacentral:rRNA from 1 species
UACCAGCAGUCCAAGUUGCAGCCAUAUUUAUUGGGUCUAAAACAUCCGUAGCUUGCUUGUUAAGUUUUUUGUGAAAUCUUGUAUCUCAAAUAUAAGGCUUGCAAAAGAUACUGAUAAGCUAGAGACCGGUAGAUGUAAGGAGUACGCCCGAGGUAGUGGUUAAAUACGUUAAUCUUGGGUGGACUAACAAUUGGCGAAGGCACCUUACAAGGACGGAUCUGACAGUGAGGGAUGAAGGCCAGGGGCGCAAAACGGAUUAGAUACCCGCGUA